UGACAAUGAUGAGCCUUUUUUUCCCGAAUCUGAUCUUCCAUUGAUGAGCCAAACAUUACGGAUCUGACUGCUGAGUU